UACAGAGGUCUCAAGCGUUGUUCGGAUUCAUUGGGCGUGAAGGGUGCGUAGGCGGCGCGGUAAGUCGGGUGUGAAAUCUCGGAGCUUAACUCCGAAACUGCAUUCGAUACUGCCGUGCUUGAGGACUGGAGAGGAGACUGGAAUUUACGGUGUAGCGGUGAAAUGCGUAGAUAUCGGGAGGAACACCAGUAGCGAAGGCGGCACUCUGGGCCGGUACUGACGCUGAGGAGCGAAAGCGUGGGGAGCGAACAGG
rnacentral:rRNA from 1 species